UGGCAUCUUGUAAAUUGUGAUAUUAUUGAUACAUAAAUCUGAUUGGUUAAUUAAGCUUUGAGAGUCUUGAUUUUACUGGGUUACUGGGUGUUGUGAUUUCUAACCCAUUUAGUUACUGGAAUGUGGGAUCUCUGACUACAUUUAUGGCUGAGGAAGUACUGGCAGCUCCGGGACAAGAGAGCCGGGGCUAACUUCCGGAGCUGGCUGGAGAGAGCUGAUGGCAGUGGCAAGAGCGCAAGAGCGUGGUCCGCCCAGCACAGAGAUGGGAACACUGAAGAGGAGGAGGAAGACGGAAGUAAAAGGAGCCAGAGGAUCUGAAAGAACGUUGUGAAAUUCUGUCUUCUGGACAUAACAGGACCAUUGUGCUCUUCACAACUGUGCUUACCUACACGG
rnacentral:lncRNA from 1 species